UUAACUGCUGAGUUAAGCAACCCUGGUAUUAUUAUUAUUAUUAUUAUUAUUAUUAUUAUUGUUAUUUAAAAGUAGUUGAGUAUGGGUAGUUCACACUUGUGAUAAUCCAAAAGUAAACGACAAAAGGUUGUAGUUAUCCCCAGGAGUGAAACAGGAGGAAUUUGAAUGAAGUAAAUUUAUGAAAAUUUCUACCAUUUAAAUGAAUUGAUUUUUGUAGGUAAACUGCUUUUUACUUGUGAGCUAUUGAGUGAAUGGCUGAAAUGUAGAGCUGACUUGGAGUGAAAUAAAAGCCACUGGUAAGUACAAGCAGCAGCUGAUAUGCUACAGUCUACUGUUUGCCCUGCAAAUAGGUCUGCACUUGGGUCAGGAGCUUGGUCUUGGCAGCUCACAUAUAACCAUGAGUUAUAUAUAUAGUAACGUUAUGUAUGGAAACUUUGCUGUGUGCCAGAUACUGUGCUAAGCAUCUUUUUAUGUUCUGUCAAACAUUUGAGAGGGCAUGCAAGGAUUACUGCUAUGCCUAUUUGAAAUGUGCAAACUGGAGUGACUCUCAUUUGAAAAGCCCUAGCAGGUAGAUGUGUGCCUGUAGUUUCACAGUCAGUGGGUGGAGAGCUGGGAUUCCUGUCCCAGGUCCCCCCUCUGACUGUAUUUUCAAUCAUUCACUAAACAGACAUAAAUUUCAUUUUUAUUUCAUGUUUCUAUAGAAAGUCAAACUUCCAUAUUUUUUAUUGUAUUUUAAAUCUCUCUUUGUCUCUCUGUGCACACGUGCGUGUGAUAUGUAUAUGUGGGUGCAAAUGCUGACGCUCAUAUGUGAGGGUUAGAGAUCAGCUUUGGAGUGGCUUCUCUCCUUUCACCUUGUGUUUUGGUGAUCAACUAAUUUUUUUUUAAAAGAAUUAUUUAUUAUAUGUAAGUAUACUGUAGCUGUCUUCAGACACUCCAGAAGAGGGCGCCAGAUCUCGUUACGGAUGGUUGUGAGCCACCAUGUAGUUGCUGGAAUUUGAACUCAGGACCUUCAGAGGAGUAGUUGGUGCUCUUAACCACUGAGCCAUCUCACCAGCCCCCCCCCCCCUCAACUAAUUUUUAUCCUCUGAACCAUUUUGGCUGUUAUUGAACCUGUUAUUGUUUUGAGACAGGGUCUUAUUCUGUGGGCCAGCUUAGCCUGAAACUGUAAUCCAUGCCUUAAGCUUGAGGUGACGUUUCUACAUCUGCCUUCUGAGUUCUAUGGCCAGCCCUGGCUGUCCUGGAACGCACUCAGUCCACCAGACUGGCCUCCACUGCAAGGUGAUCCUUGGAAGCCCCUGCUUCCCAAAUGGUGGGAUUGCAGGUGUGCACCGCCAUCACAGGCUAUCCCAGAUCCCCAAGAGGAAAAGCGUGCCAAAACAGAGACAGAAGUUGAAGUUUCUGGAGGCUUUGAACUCCCAAGGACCACCUCCAUGAUGUACAUCCUUCAGCAAGACUACACCUCCUAAACCUCCCCAAACAAUGUCACCAAGUGGAGACCAAGGGUUGAAAGCUCAUGAGACAUUCCUCAUUCAGAAAUCACAGUAGCUAAGCCUGGCCCUCCUUUAAUUUACACUCAUCCGCGGUGGAACAAGAUAAUCCAAAACAAAGCCUAUUUUAUAAUAAACUUAAAAAGAAAGGAUUUAUUUAUUUGUUUUAUUUAUGUGAGUACACUGUUGCUGUCUUCAG